UACGUAGGGUGCAAGCGUUAAUCGGAAUUACUGGGCGUAAAGCGUGCGCAGGCGGCUAUGCAAGACAGAUGUGAAAUCCCCGGGCUCAACCUGGGAACUGCAUUUGUGACUGCAUAGCUAGAGUACGGUAGAGGCGAGUGGAAUUCCUGGUGUAGCGGUGAAAAUGCGUAGAGAUCGGGAGGAACACCCGUGGCGAAGGCGGCCAUCUGGACCAGUACUGACGCUGAGGCACGAAAGCGUGGGGGAGCAAAACAGGG
rnacentral:rRNA from 1 species